rnacentral:lncRNA from 1 species
CACAGACCUCAGUCCCAUAACCGUCCCUCCAGGGAAGAGGAUGGGGCAUGAAAGACCAGUGGAAGAAAUGGGAAUUCCUCAGGCUGAGGGAAUAAAAGGUCAUACUGUUAACUGCUCACUCUGCUGCCUCGAGGCUGGACUUUCAGACAUCCUACUUCUCAGCCCGGGAUUCUCUGUGCUGGACUCCACUUCUCACAUCUACAGGCCCUUUUGGGUGGUUGAUGAAGGACCUGGAAGCUGAUUUCCUAAGAGUGAAUAACUUGGUGCCCUGAAGCUGACCCCUCAUCCACUAUAAACUGUCGAUGCUGGGUUGGUAUAGUGCCUUUGGAAAGCAGUAAAGCAAUUACCAGCAAAAGGCAUGAAGCUCUUCCUCCCCCUUUGACCCAGUAAUCUCUUUCCCUGGGAAAUUAUUCCAAGGAAAUUAUCCAAACGAAGCCAAGUGUUAUCUGCAUACAUGUGUGCAUUGAAGUCUUUCUUUAAAGGUCAAAAACUGGGAACCACAAUAAGGAAGUGGUUUAAUAAACUGGGACAUCAACACAAUGGACAAUCAGGCCUGGAAAUCCACAGCUGUGUGACUGUGAUGG